ensembl:snRNA U6 U6 spliceosomal RNA
GCGCUCCCCUCCCCAGCACGUAUACUAAAAUUACAACAAUUCAGAGAUUAGCAUGACCUCCUCACAAGGAUGACACACAAAUUCCUGAAGCCUUCCAUAUUUUU